rnacentral:rRNA from 1 species
CUACGGCCAUACCACCCUGAACACGCCCGAUCUCGUCUGAGAUCUCGGAAGCUAAAGCAGGGUCGGGCCUGGUUAGUACUUGGAUGGGAGACCUCCUGGGAAUACUGGGUGCUGUAGG